rnacentral:rRNA from 1 species
AUUGAACGCUGGCGGCAGGCUUAACACAUGCAAGUCGAGCGGUAGAAAGUAGCUUGCUACUUUUGAGAGCGGCGGACGGGUGAGUAAUGCGUGGGAAUCUACCUGGUAGUGGGGGACAACAGUUGGAAACGACUGCUAAUACCGCAUACGCCCUACGGGGGAAGGCGGGGGAGUCUUCGGACCUCGUGCUAUCAGAUGAGCCCGCGUGAGAUUAGCUAGUUGGUGGGGUAAAGGCCUACCAAGGCGACGAUCUCUAGCUGGUCUGAGAGGAUGAUCAGCCACACUGGGACUGAGACACGGCCCAGACUCCUACGGGAGGCAGCAGUGGGGAAUAUUGGACAAUGGGCGAAAGCCUGAUCCAGCAAUGCCGCGUGUGUGAAGAAGGCCUGAGGGUUGUAAAGCACUUUCAAUCGUGAAGAAAAGUUAGCAGGCUAAUACCCUGUGACCUUGACGUUAACGAUACAAGAAGCACCGGCUAACUCCGUG